rnacentral:tRNA from 1 species
CGUAUCAAGGUAGGGCCAGAACGCUGGGCUUGUAAUCCUGAGGUCCCGGGUUCGAUUCCCGGUGGUGCCC